AACGAACGCUGGCGGCAUGCCUAACACAUGCAAGUCGAACGAGACCUUCGGGUCUAGUGGCGCACGGGUGCGUAACGCGUGGUAACCUGCCCUUAGGUUCGGAAUAACUCCCCGAAAGGGGUGCUAAUACCGGAUAAUGUCUUCGGACCAAAGAUUUAUCGCCUUUGGAUGGGCCCGCGUUGGAUUAGCUAGUUGGUAGGGUAAAAGCCUACCAAGGCGACGAUCCAUAGCUGGUCUGAGAGGAUGAUCAGCCACACUGGGACUGAGACACGGCCCAGACUCCUACGGGAGGCAGCAGUAGGGAAUAUUGGACAAUGGGCGAAAGCGUGAUCCAGCAAUGCCGCGUGAGUGAUGAAGGCCUUAGGGUUGUAAAGCUCUUUUACCCGGGAUGAUAAUGACAGUACCGGGAGAAUAAGCUCCGGCUAACUACGUG
rnacentral:rRNA from 1 species